UAGCCAUCCCCGAUUCAAAUGGUCCUCUUGAAUCAGGAGGUAGAUAUCCAGAACCACCAGACAUCCUCAGGUUGGGAUCAUUCAUGCUGCUCUGGUGUAACUCAGCUGCAUUCUGAGCUCCAGAACCACCAAACAUCCUCAGGUUGGGAUCAUUCAUACUGCUCUGGUGUAACUCAGCUGCAUUCUGAGCUCCAGAACCACCAGACAUCCUCAGGCUGCUCUGGUGUAACUCAGCUGCAUUCUGAGCUCCGAAACCACCAGACAUCCUCAGGUUGGGAUCAUUCAUGCUGCUCUGGUGUAACUCAGCUGCAUUCCGAGCUCCAGAACCACCAGACAUACUCAGGUAGGGAUCAUUCAUGCUGCUCUGGUGUAACUCACCUGCAUUCCAAGCUCCAGAACCCACAUGAGACUCAUAGAUCCCUCCAUGGAUAGCUGAUCUAGCUUCC
rnacentral:lncRNA from 1 species